rnacentral:rRNA from 1 species
GACGAACGCUGGCGGCGUGCUUAACACAUGCAAGUCGAACGGAAAGGCCCUGCUUUUGUGGGGUGCUCGAGUGGCGAACGGGUGAGUAACACGUGAGUAACCUGCCCUUGACUUUGGGAUAACUUCAGGAAACUGGGGCUAAUACCGGAUAGGAGCUCCUGCUGCAUGGUGGGGGUUGGAAAGUUUCGGCGGUUGGGGAUGGACUCGCGGCUUAUCAGCUUGUUGGUGGGGUAGUGGCUUACCAAGGCUUUGACGGGUAGCCGGCCUGAGAGGGUGACCGGCCACAUUGGGACUGAGAUACGGCCCAGACUCCUACGGGAGGCAGCAGUGGGGAAUAUUGCACAAUGGGCGGAAGCCGGAUGCAGCAACGCCGGGUGCGGGAUGACGGCCUGCGGGUUGUAAACCGCUUUCGCCUGUGACGAAGCGUGAGUGACGGUAAUGGGUAAAGAAGCACCGGCUAACUACGUG